UACGGUGAUAUCAUAUUGAAACAUCAGUUCUAUUUCGAUCCCCGAAGUUAAGCAAUGUCGAGCCUGGUCAGUACCUAGAUGGGUGACCGCUUGGGAAUUCCAGGUGCUGUAAG
rnacentral:rRNA from 1 species